CAAGUGGCUAAGAUAUAGGAAUGCGUUUCAAUUGGCACCCUAUUCCCCUAUGGGCCCUGAUCAAAUGUAGUGCACUAUAUAGGAAAUAGGGUGGGAUUUGGAACGUAAGCAUAUAUAUAUAUAUACUGAUGUGCUGUAUUUACCAGAGACUGACAUAAGGGAGUUAGAGGAUACAGUGCAUUACUGAGGGAUGUGUGGCCUGGCCUACAUCGAUGACUGAAAGUCAGGACUUGAUUUGACUAAUUGAUUUGGUUUAACCAGGAGAGUCUCUGAUGGUUCUCUUGACCUUCUGAGUUGUGUAAGUGGUCACAUGGUAAAUUAGUGGAUGUCAUCAUGUCCUUUCCGACUGAACCACGAGGCCUCUCAAACUCAACUCUGGACCUAGAUGCCAGUUCCACUGCUUUCCCCCAUAGUGGCCCUCUAAUCAGGGACUGGUUUAGACCUGGGACACCAAGUGGGUGAUUCCCCUCUAAUCAGGGACUGAUUUAGACCUGGGACACCAGGUGGGUGAUUCCCCUCUAAUCAGGGACUGGUUUAGACCAGGGACACCAGGUGGGUGAUUCCCCUCUAAUCAGGGACUGAUUUAGACCUGGGACACCGGGUGGGUGGUUCCCCUCUAAUCAGGGACUGAUUUAGACCUGGGACACCAGGUGGGUGAUUCUCCUCUAAUCAGGGACUGAUUUAGACCUGGGACACCAGGUGGGUGAUUCCCCUCUAAUCAGGGACUGAUUUAGACCUGGGACACCAGGUGGGGGAAAUGAAUGAUCAGGUAGAACAGACAACCAGCAGACUCCGGAGCUGUAUGGGUCCUCACACAUAGCAUUAUUGAUUCUGCAACGCUUCACUCUAUGGCCUGGUGGUGGUGGUGGUGGUGGUGGUGGCCUGGUGGUGGUGUUGGCCUGGUGGUGGUGGUGGUGGCCUGGUGGUGGUGGUG